CCAUGUUGAGGGAUUGGGUUCGCCUGAGGCCCUUGGCAGGAUGGUGGCCGCUCGGCUAGUGGUGGGGCUCUCGCUUCUGGCCUCCACUCGCGUUCUCUCUCCCGGCCUCCCCGGCGACGGUGGACGCGUCCUGGGGCGACGCCGGCGCAGCCUCCACACACACCUUCCCGAGCUGCAGGUCUUCCCCGUUGGGUGACGCGGGGUGAGGGGAGCGCGGCCGCUUUCCCCGAGAGCAACGAGCACCCGGAUUUCCCACCCACUUUCCUCCCCCGUCUCCACAUUCUUCCCCUGUCUCCUUACGGCUUUGUCUUCCCUUCUCGGAAUUUCCUGACUACACACUUCGGGUCGGCGGCGGUCUCCACGGACCUCACGGGCGUCGCCCGUUGCUGGCGCGCGAUCCGAGGAGUAAGCUGUCUCCUUCAUGGUGCCCACUUCCUAGUGAAUGCGGACUGAUUAACCAGAACAGCACUGCCCAGUGGAACUUUCUUUGGUGAAGGAAAUGUUCUAGAUCUGCCCUGUCCAACAUAGUAGCCAUUAGCUGCAGGUGACCAGUGAACAUUUGAAAGACGGCCAGUGCGACUAAGGAACUGACUGGAAAUCUCACUGGCACUGUGAGUGUCCCAUCUGAAGUUAUCAUGGGAGGAUGGCUGCUGCUACAAAGUUCCCAUCUUUUACUCAGGAGCCUAAGCAGGCCAUGGGAACACAAGAGACCUUCCACAAAUAUUUGUGAAGUAAAGGGGAGGCAGUGGAGGAAAAAAGUCACAUAAAGGACUCUUUGUGACACAGCAGAAACGUGUUAAGCACCUACCACCUCAGGCCUAGCCUGCAAGUGUCCUGAUAAAAACUGAUUUGAAUCACAGAAUCCAGCAGCAUGCUUGUCAAAACCCAGAGACUUGCCCUUUUAAGUCUAAGACCAGAUACUGAAAUCAUCACACUCUCAGCCCAGUGUUUUGGAAGUACCAGAUAUGAUGAAUGCAAUUACAUGAUCGUGCAAAUGAAGUAAAAUAAUACAACUGCCUCCUCCUUUAUACUUGCCAGUAAGAUGACUUUGUACUGAGAAAAUUAUUGAGACUCUAACAAAACUGUUACAAAUAAUAAGAGAAUUUAGCAGCAUGACAGGUUCAUCUGCAACAACUACGCAAGACUGCAAGGGAUGAUUAACCUGAGCAGAUUAACAGCAACUACAGUGAACUCCCAACAGCACUUGGAAGGCCUGACUAGCACAGUGAGGUGAGCAGAUCCCUUUGGACACCUGUGCCAAAACUCAACUGAGACCAGUUUUGCAUUAAGGAAUGUCUGAAUCCAAUCAAAUGUAAGACACAUUCUAACAAGAUUUUCUCAAUGAAUCCUGACAAGCUGAUGGUGAGUGUUCAUUUGGUUGAGAACAGAUAAUAGGUGUGUUGUUUUCUUUUUUUUAAAUAAUGAGACGAACUACCAUUUAUCCAAGUUUGUUGUAAAGUUACGAUAAGUACAGCAACAUGGUGUUUACUCAGACACUGACAGAGACCAAGGGAGCAUAAGGGGCCAAGAAGGCCUGCACAUGGUGAUGACUAUGGGAAUUAAGUCUAUGAUAAAGAUGACGUUUCCAAUAAUCAGAAGAACCAAGUCAGAAAACGGUGUUGAAAAAACUUGUGCCCCACAUCAUACACACAAGGAAACACAGUUACAGGAAACAGCUAAAAACCCCCCACAAAAAUACCAGAAUUGACAAAAGUAUUUGUACAACCUGCCUAUGUAUGACAUGAAACCUAGAAUAGAAA